CCUACGGGGGGCAGCAGUGGGGAAUAUUGCACAAUGGGGGAAACCCUGAUGCAGCGACGCCGCGUGAGUGAAGAAGCGCCUCGGCGCGUAAAGCUCUGUCAGCAGGAACGAUAAUGACGGUACCUGAAGAAGAAGCCCCGGCUAACUACGUGCCAGCAGCCGCGGUAAUACGUAGGGGGCAAGCGUUAUCCGGAUUUACUGGGUGUAAAGGGAGCGUAGACGGCGGGGCAAGUCAGAUGUGAAAUCCCGCGGCUCAACCGCGGAACUGCAUUUGAAACUGUUUUUCUUGAGUACCGGAGAGGUCAUCGGAAUUCCUUGUGUAGCGGUGAAAUGCGUAGAUAUAAGGAAGAACACCAGUGGCGAAGGCGGAUGACUGGACGGCAACUGACGGUGAGGCGCGAAAGCGUGGGGAGCAAACAGGAUUAGAUACCCCAGUAGUC
rnacentral:rRNA from 1 species